rnacentral:pre_miRNA from 1 species
AUGAGAUGAAAUUAUCGUUUGGAUAUGCGAUUUCACGCUGAUUCAUUUCAUGA